UGGGGAAUAUUGCACAAUGGGCGCAAGCCUGAUGCAGCCAUGCCGCGUGUAUGAAGAAGGCCUUCGGGUUGUAAAGCACUUUCAGCGGGGAGGAAGGCGAUAAGGUUAAUAACCUUGUCGAUUGACGUUACCCGCAGAAGAAGCACCGGCUAACUCCGUGCCAGCAGCCGCGGUAAUACGGAGGGUGCAAGCGUUAAUUGGAAUUACUGGGCGUAAAGCGCACGCAGGCGGUCUGUCAAGUCGGAUGUGAAAUCCCCGGGCUCAACCUGGGAACUGCAUUCGAAACUGGCAGGCUAGAGUCUUGUAGAGGGGGGUAGAAUUCCAGGUGUAGCGGUGAAAUGCGUAGAGAUCUGGAGGAAUACCGGUGGCGAAGGCGGCCCCCUGGACGAAGACUGACGCUCAGGUGCGAAAGCGUGGGGAGCAAACAGG
rnacentral:rRNA from 1 species